rnacentral:rRNA from 1 species
GAUGAACGCUAGCUACAGGCUUAACACAUGCAGGUCGAGGGGAAACGACAUCGAAAGCUUGCUUUUGAUGGGCGUCGACCGGCGCACGGGUGAGUAACGCGUAUCCAACCUGCCCACCACUUGGGGAUAACCUUGCGAAAGUAAGACUAAUACCCAAUGAUAUCUCUAGAAGACAUCUGAAAGAGAUUAAAGAUUUAUCGGUGAUGGAUGGGGAUGCGUCUGAUUAGCUUGUUGGCGGGGUAACGGCCCACCAAGGCUACGAUCAGUAGGGGUUCUGAGAGGAAGGUCCCCCACAUUGGAACUGAGACACGGUCCAAACUCCUACGGGAGGCAGCAGUGAGGAAUAUUGGUCAAUGGACGGGAGUCUGAACCAGCCAAGUAGCGUGCAGGAUGGCGGCCCUAUGGGUUGUAAACUGCUUUUAUAAGGGAAUAAAGUGAGUCACGUGAGACUUUUUGCAUGUACCUUAUGAAUAAGGACCGGCUAAUUCCGUGCCAGCCGCCGCGGUAA